rnacentral:rRNA from 1 species
UGGGGAAUUUUGGACAAUUGGGCGAAAGCCUGAUCCAGCAAUGCCGCGUGUGUGAAGAAGGCCUUCGGGUUGUAAAGCACUUUUGUCCGGAAAGAAAUCCUUGGCUCUAAUACAGUCGGGGGAUGACGGUACCGGAAGAAUAAGCACCGGCUAACUACGUGCCAGCAGCCGCGGUAAUACGUAGGGUGCAAGCGUUAAUCGGAAUUACUGGGCGUAAAGCGUGCGCAGGCGGUUUGCUAAGACCGAUGUGAAAUCCCCGGGCUCAACCUGGGAACUGCAUUGGUGACUGGCAGGCUAGAGUAUGGCAGAGGGGGGUAGAAUUCCACGUGUAGCAGUGAAAUGCGUAGAGAUGUGGAGGAAUACCGAUGGCGAAGGCAGCCCCCUGGGCAAUACUGACGCUCAUGCACGAAAGCGUGGGGAGCAAACAGGAUUAGAUACCCUGGUAGUCCACGCCCUAAACGAUGUCAACUAGUUGUUGGGGAUUCAUUUCCUAGUAACGUAGCUAACGCGUGAAGUUGACCGCCUGGGGAGUACGGUCGCAAGAUUAAAACUCAAAU